AUCGUGUUGAAAAAUACAUAUCUUGUGCAUAUAUUCUUGUAUAUUUAGUUUCCAUAUUAGUAGAUCAAAUAUCAUUCAUUGGGGAUCAUUAUUUCUUACCUAAAGCUAGGCUAGAUUGAUUUGUAUCAAGUUGUAUAUAUAUCAAAUUGUGAAUAAAGAAAAUCACUUCAGCAAAAUAUAUUGUUUUCUCUUCUUUUUCAAGAUGGUAUUAGAGCUUGAUCAAUCCAAAUGUCCAAACACUAGCAAUAAGAGUAACAAUAUGAAUUCAUUGAAUCCAUAUUUUCUUCAACAUUCAGAUCAUCCCAGCCUCAUGCUUGUUCCAAUCAAGUUGAAUGGGAUCAAUUAUCCAACCUGGAGCAAAUCAAUGAUACAUGCUCUCACAGCCAAAAAAAUUAUCGUUUAUUGAUGGAUCAAUUGAACCCGCCCUCGGAAAUAGAUAAGCCAACAGAGUAUGGGUUGUGGAGUCAAUGCAAUAGUAUGAUUUGAUCAUGUCUUGAUCACUCGGUGGAAUCAGAUCUAGCUAGAGGAUUCAUCUAUGCCAAGACGGCUCACCAAGUACGGCAAAAUCUUAAAGAUCAAUUUCUCAAAAGAAUGCACCAACAAUAUAUCAGAUUUAAAAAUCAUUAGCUUCACUCUUACAAGGUGACAUGAACAUUUCUUCCUAUUUCACAAAAGUCAAAGGUCUUUGAGAUGAUUUAGAUACAUUUUGAACAUUUCCCACUUGCAAUCAAAUUAAAGCACACACCAAUCAAAUUGAAGAAGACUGUGUGAUGCAAUUUUUAAUGGGUCUUAAUGAUAUCCAUAAUGUUGUUCGAUCUAAUAUUCUCAUGAUGUCUCCCCUACCGAAUGUACACCAAGCAUAUUCACUUGUUAUUCAAGAGGAAACACAAAAACAAAUGACGUCGGAAUCAACAUAAAGUUUCUCUAUUGCGGCUGCAAUUCAAAGGCAUACCAAUAGUUUUUUCAACAAAUCCAAGGAUAAGCAUUGUGAGCAUUGCAAUCGAGAAGGACGCACAAUUGAAAAUUGCCGCACUCUAAAAUUUCAUUGCAAGCAUAGAAAUAGAUUGGAGACUACAUAGUGAUUUCAUAAUUGGUUUUAGCAUCCCACUAAGACGUCUCUUGGUGGGUUCUAUUUUGCUUGAUUCGGGUCACAACUUCCAAUAUCUCCUUCUGGGAUCAAGGAAACUUGUUGCUCAAGGGAAAUGAAAGAACAGACCUUGGAGAUAUAUUAUAUGCCUUGGUGGUGCUAAAAUAUAUUGAUGCCAAUGUAUCUUUAAUUCUUGCAAUAAGUCCAUUUUCAUCUUGAUCCAUAUAAUUUGUAUAUGAUGAUUAUUAGUGAAUGCUUAUUUAUUAAUGUUUUGGCACCAGUAUAAUGCUAGGAACCAAUUGUAAUUUUUUUUUAAAAAAAAUUAUGUUUGCCACGGUUCAACCGUGCCUAAUGUAUAAUUCCUCAUAUUGACUA